rnacentral:ncRNA from 1 species
UUCAUAUCAAGAGAAGUGGAGGGACUGGCCCUUUGAUACUUCGGCAACAUGGUCAUGCGUGUGCCAAUUCCAGAAGCUUUAAGGCUGAAGAUAAGAA